UGGCCAUAUCACAUUGAAAUACUGGUUCUCAUAUGAUUUCUGAAGUUAAGCAACAUUGAGUUUGGUCAGUACCUAGAUGAGUGGCUGCUCGGGAAUACCAAAUGUUGUAAG